UACAGAGGGUGCGAGCGUUGUCCGGAAUCACUGGGCGUAAAGGGCGCGUAGGCGGUCGCGUAAGCGUGUGGUGAAAGCCCGGGGCUCAACCCCGGGUCGGCCAUGCGAACUGCGGGACUGGAGCAGAUCAGAGGCAGGCGGAAUUCCGGGUGUAGCGGUGGAAUGCGUAGAGAUCCGGAAGAACACCGGUGGCUAAGGCGGCCUGCUGGGAUCUUGCUGACGCUGAAGCGCGACAGCGUGGGGAGCAAACAGG
rnacentral:rRNA from 1 species